rnacentral:lncRNA from 1 species
AUUCCCAGCUUGGGAUGUGGAAGAACACAAUGACGUUUUCACACUGAGGAUUGGGUGGGGUGGGGCAGAAGCCCCAGCUAGAGCUUUGGGAUAAGGCAGGUGAUUAAGCCUGCUUGGAAGCCCACCUCCUCCAGAGUUAGCACGGUAAGUUUACAACACAUGCAUUUUUUUUUUCUUUCCUCUCAUGCCAGUUUUCCGAAGAAAUCCAUUUUUUCCAAAUGUCAUAACUGAAUUUAAACCAUUUUUUCCAACUCACUUCCUUCCGCACUGCAUCUCUAUCCUUCUCCAGCGUCACUUUGGGGAGGAGGGGUCAGCUGGAGAACACUUCCAAGCUGUCUUUUAGGAGGUGUCAGCCACGAAAACGUGGACUCGCCACCACUAAAGUGGCUCCCCGCCCCUUAGCGUCGCGCCUCCACUGCCACCAAUGUGCCAGGAGACCCAGCUCUCCCCACCCCGCAGUCGGGAAACCUGCAACUCCUCCCCCACGCCCCCCGACUCAGCGGCUUGGCGGGCGAUGUCUCUGGAGCACGUGCACCCAUUCUAAUUUUUUAUGCUUUGUUAUUCUGUCAAUUUCUUAAUCUAUUUAUGCCGGCUUUAUUUUUAGUUGUGCCUAUUGUGACAGCAAAUCCUCAAAUUCCCUUGGUUGUUUUCGGAAAAUAGACGUUUCCAAACCGUAAUGUAGACCCCAAAUAAAACGCUGUGAGCCUCGGGCGGGUCCUGAGCAUCCGCAGCAGCCGGCCCCUUUUAGAGCCGCGCCCAGUUGCCCCUCGCAGGGCAGCCGGGGAGGCGGCAAGGAGAGCCAGUCCAGGUCAUGUUUGGAUGAGCAGCUCUGGGUUUCGCUGAAAAUGCUCAUUUCUUCUCCUUUUGGAGAAUUUCUUCAAACAUUAAUACAUUUCCUCCCCUCUCCCUAUCUUUUGUUGGCAACCGAUAAAAUAUGCAAAUGAUACAGAAACCAAUUAAUUUUUAGAAGGUUGCAGCUGUUUUGCUGUAUUUACAAGACACGAUGGGCACAUUUAGCAUGUGUGUGUGUGUGGAUGGAUGUGCAAGAGUGCGUAGGCUCAUGUGUUCGCAAGCACAUGUGGAAGGCUCCGCUCAUCACAGACGCGUUCCCUCCAGAUAUGAGCCAUCGCUCAGCCAUGCACAGGUCAUCGGAUCACUUUCCAAGUGCUUUUCCUGCCGGGGAACUGCGACCAGAGUAUGUCCAUAACACAGUGAAGUUUCACCUUCUCUGCCCGUGGAGAGGCGCAGGUGCCCCACUGGCCUUCUUCCGCCAGGCUGUGUCCUUCUGGCCACUCUCCAGGCAAGGGCUCCAGUGUCUUAAGCCCUGGGGACAUCGAGGGUCAUAGCUGCCAGUCCCACUGGUAGAACCUGGUUAGAUUUAGAGCUCAUAAUGACAAGCAUCAAAGUCUUUCUCUUCUGGUGGUUUUCAAAAGGUCACAAUAAACCUGACCCCCUUGCUGUACAGUGGGAAAAUAAAAAAAAAAAAA